rnacentral:lncRNA from 1 species
CAUCACAAAGCAUUGAAAGUUUGAAAUGGAGAAAUGGUAAUGGACAAAGGAGACAUACAAAACAUAACAGGUAGACAGGAUUUGGGACAUCUUUACAUGCAGGGUGCUAAGGGACCCAGGAUGACAAAAAGGAGUUGAUCCUAGUUGGGAUAAAAAAAAUGGAGAAACUGCUUGCAUUCCAGAAGACUCUACAGUAUGUCAAAGAUUAUUUUUGAAAAUAACUUUUGCUAUGGUUCGAGUAUGUCCCUCAGGAUUCAUAUACUGGAGACUUAAUCCCCAAAGACAUAUGUUAAUGGUAUGUUCAAGUGAGGCCUUUGGGGAGAGAUUGGGUCUUGAGGGCUUUGUCUUCAGAAAUGAUCAAUCCACUCAUAGAUUAAUGAUUUUUUUUAAAAAAUUCUCCAUGUUAUGAUAUUCAGUUAUAGCAACAACAACAUUUUUGAUCAUUUAACCUUAUUUUUUAACUUUUAUAAAAAUGUAUUUUAAGGCUUUUUUUCCACUUUUUAAGAGUUGCCAAACUGUCAACAUCAUAUUUUUGUUCUAUAUUCUUUGUCUCUUGCCUUUACAUUUUGAGUGUAUGUGUGUUUAAAUACAGAAGCAAAAACAUAUAAAUGUAUUCUGUAUAAUUUAUACCUUUGGGGUUCUGCUCAGAAAGCACUUUCUCAUUCCAAGAGUAUGUACUUCUAAUUGUUUUACAAUUCCUUAAAUUCCACUUAUCUGUCUGGAAUCCCUGGGGGGGGGGGGGGUAGUGUGGGCUGUAUACUAACUUUGAAUCCUUUAGCUCUGGAAAUUGUGAAAUGGGAAGAUGUGACUGUAGAAGGCAGAGGUUUUCUCUCUUUUCUACAUAUUUCUCACUACUCCUGUGCCCCUCCCUGCUGCCCCCAUCCUAUUAGCAUUUCUCUCUGUAUGCCUGCAUUUUUCUUGCUCUGCCUUAACCAUUAAUUCCAAACUCCAUUUUCUCCUUCUCUUCCCUGUCCUCUGCCUCUUGAUGAGUCUCUGCUUUCCUCCACCUGGUCCUCCUCCUCUUCUCCCUUCUCUCUUUUCCUCUCUCUCCUUCUCCCUUCUCUGUUCCUUAAAAGUGCUUUAAGACCUUGGUUAGUCAAUUUCACAAGACACCUUAAAAUGUCAGAAGAGCUGACAUACGGAUGAUAAACGGGCACCGG